rnacentral:snRNA from 1 species
GACAAUGCCGUCUGCUGUGGUUUC